rfam:Gorilla gorilla gorilla genomic chromosome, chr22, whole genome shotgun sequence
GCUGGGCGUAGUGGCUGGCGCCUGUAAUCCCAGCUACUCGGGAGGCUGAGGCAGGAGAAUCGCUCGAACCCGGGAGGCGGAGGUUGCAGUGAGCCGAGAUCGCGCCACUGCACAGCCCGGGUGACAGAGUGAGACUCUGUCUCAA